UUCUCAACAAUGGCCUGUGUGCUACAUAAGCGAAUCGUUUGCAGCUUUCUAUUUUGUCAAACUGUCAUAUUGCUUGGACGAGUGAAUGGAUAUUUAUAGCAUCCAAAUGUUAUCAUUUUUUAGGAAGAGAAGUAGGUCUAGCAUGAAGGAUAAGAGCCACUUAGCUUAGCCAAGGAGACUGCCUAUUAAUCCACAUCGAGAUCUCAAAUCUUAAAACCGAUAAGAUCUCUGAAGACGAUGCAGGCAAGUCAUCCCUGGCUACCAAAGAUAAGCUCUCCAUCCCCAUGUAAGGCUCUCUCUUCCACCCUAAAUCAUUUGUGAUGCGGUCGCCUCUUACUUCCCAUGCCACUAUUUAUAGAAAACCAUGUACUCGCUAUCGGUAGCUUUUUCAGGGACUGGGGAAUAUAUUCUCAUGACCUAAAGCUAUGAGAUUAGCAACGAUGUUUUGUGGUUAGGGUUAUCUGGUUUGUUCCGACUUUGCAACCUUAAUUAUUAUGCAGGUAAUAAUUGCAUGUAAUUACAACUGCCAUCAUAUAUGCAGGUAAUAAAUGCAUGUAAUUGCUGUGUGUUUGUUUUGGAA